UCUCUGGUAGUAUAUUGGUUAGUACGCACUCUUGUCAGAAUAAUGAUGGAACAUAGUUCUCUGCGUGUAGGUUGGGUUCGACUCCCAGCCAGGGAG